rnacentral:pre_miRNA from 1 species
AACAAAUCAACUUUUUAGUUUUUAAAUAUAAUGUUUGGCUCUCCGUCUUAUUUAAAAGAAUUUUACGAUUAAUAAUUUAUUUUUAUUAGAUAAUAAAAUAUGAAUAGUAUUUUAUUUGUGACUAAUUUUUUAAAAAAAUUUUGAAAAUUUUUCAAAUAAGACAGAUGGUCAAACGCUUGACAAAAAACCGAAAAGUUGGUUUUUUU